rnacentral:rRNA from 1 species
GACGAACGCUGGCGGCGUGCUUAACACAUGCAAGUCGUACGGUAAGGCCCUUUCGGGGGUACACGAGUGGCGAACGGGUGAGUAACACGUGAGUAACCUGCCCACAACUUUGGGAUAACGCUAGGAAACUGGUGCUAAUACUGGAUAUGUGCUCCUGCUUCAUGGUUGGGGGUGGAAAGCUCCGGCGGUUGUGGAUGGACUCGCGGCCUAUCAGCUUGUUGGUGGGGUAGUGGCCUACCAAGGCGGCGACGGGUAGCCGGCCUGAGAGGGUGACCGGCCACAUUGGGACUGAGAUACGGCCCAGACUCCUACGGGAGGCAGCAGUGGGGAAUAUUGCACAAUGGGCGCAAGCCUGAUGCAGCAACGCCGCGUGCGGGAUGACGGCCUUCGGGUUGUAAACCGCUUUCAGCAGGGACGAAGCUUUUUGUGACGGUACCUGCAGAAGAAGCACCGGCUAACUACGUG